rnacentral:rRNA from 1 species
GCAUAUCAAUAAGCGGAGGAAAAGAAACCAACAGGGAUUGCCCUAGUAACGGCGAGUGAAGCGGCAACAGCUCAAAUUUGAAAUCUGGCCUCUUUGGGGUCCGAGUUGUAAUUUGCAGAGGAUGCUUUGGCAUUGGCGGUGGUCUAAGUUCCUUGGAACAGGACAUCACAGAGGGUGAGAAUCCCGUACGUGGUCACCUGCCUUUGCCGUGUAAAGCUCCUUCGACGAGUCGAGUUGUUUGGGAAUGCAGCUCUAAAUGGGAGGUAAAUUUCUUCUAAAGCUAAAUACUGGCCAGAGACCGAUAGCGCACAAGUAGAGUGAUCGAAAGAUGAAAAGUACUUUGGAAAGAGAGUCAAAAAGCACGUGAAAUUGUUGAAAGGGAAGCGCUUGCAGCCAGACUUGCCCGCAGUUGCUCACCUAGGCUUUUGCCUGGGGCACUCUUCUGCGGGCAGGCCAGCAUCAGUUUGGGCGGUUGGAUAAAGGCCUCUGUCACGUAUCUUCCUUCGGGAAGACCUUAUAGGGGAGGCGUAAUGCAACCAGCCCGGACUGAGGUCCGCGCAUCUGCUAGGAUGCUGGCGUAAUGGCUGUAAGCGGCCCGUCUUGAAACACGGACCAAGGAGUCUAACAUCUAUGCGAGUGUUUGGGUGUCAAGCCCGGGCGCGCAAUGAAAGUGAACGGAGGUGGGAACCUUUUAGGUGCACCAUCGACCGAUCCUGAUGUCUUCGGAUGGAUUUGAGUAAGAGCAUAGCUGUUGGGACCCGAAAGAUGGUGAACUAUGCUUGAAUAGGGUGAAGCCAGAGGAAACUCUGGUGGAGGCUCGCAGCGGUUCUGACGUGCAAAUCGAUCGUCAAAUUUGGGCAUAGGGGCGAAAGACUAAUCGAACCA